GUGAGAGCUCUGGAGACUGAAAUCCUCUAUUAAUCUACAGACCAGGUAUAACACUGGCCAUGGUGUAAGUUUUCUUACACUGACUCAAUCGUGACUUAAAAGGAUCAGCUCUCCAGGGGAGGGGAUGGUUCACUCUAUAUGCCUUUUCAGGCCUUUGUCUCC
rnacentral:sRNA from 1 species